rnacentral:rRNA from 1 species
CGAGUGGCGAACGGGUGAGUAACGCGUAGGAAUCUGCCUUGCAGUGGGGGAUAACACUAGGAAACUGGUGCUAAUACCGCAUACGCCCUUAGGGGGAAAGAUUUAUUGCUGCAAGAUGAGCCUGCGUCAGAUUAGCUAGUUGGUGGGGUAAAGGCCUACCAAGGCGAAGAUCUGUAGCUGUUCUGAGAGGAAGAUCAGCCACACUGGGACUGAGACACGGCCCAGACUCC